GGUUCCAUGGUGCAGUGGUUAUCAUGUCUGCUUUACAUGCAGAAGUCUCUGGGUUUGAACCCCAGUGGAACCA